UGGGGAAUUUUGGACAAUGGGCGAAAGCCUGAUCCAGCAAUGCCGCGUGCGUGAAGAAGGCCUUCGGGUUGUAAAGCACUUUUGUCCGGAAAGAAAUCCUUGGCUCUAAUACAGUCGGGGGAUGACGGUACCGGAAGAAUAAGCACCGGCUAACUACGUGCCAGCAGCCGCGGUAAUACGUAGGGUGCAAGCGUUAAUCGGAAUUACUGGGCGUAAAGCGUGCGCAGGCGGUUUGCUAAGACCGAUGUGAAAUCCCCGGGCUCAACCUGGGAACUGCAUUGGUGACUGGCAGGCUAGAGUAUGGCAGAGGGGGGUAGAAUUCCACGUGUAGCAGUGAAAUGCGUAGAGAUGUGGAGGAAUACCGAUGGCGAAGGCAGCCCCCUGGGCCAAUACUGACGCUCAUGCACGAAAGCGUGGGGAGCAAAACAGGAUUAGAUACCCUGGUAGUCCACGCCCUAAAACGAUGUCAACUAGUUGUUGGGGGAUUCAUUUCCUUAGUAACGUAGCUAACGCGUGAAGUUGACCGCCUGGGGAGUACGGUCGCAAGAUUAAAACUUAAAUGAAUUGACGGGGUCAUAGCUG
rnacentral:rRNA from 1 species